GAUGAACGCUGGCGGCGUGCCUAAUACAUGCAAGUCGAGCGAACGGACGAGAAGCUUGCUUCUCUGAUGUUAGCGGCGGACGGGUGAGUAACACGUGGAUAACCUACCUAUAAGACUGGGAUAACUUCGGGAAACCGUAGCUAAUACCGGAUAAUAUUUUGAACCGCAUGGUUCAAAAGUGAAAGACGGUCUUGCUGUCACUUAUAGAUGGAUCCGCGCUGCAUUAGCUAGUUGGUAAGGUAACGGCUUACCAAGGCAACGAUGCAUAGCCGACCUGAGAGGGUGAUCGGCCACACUGGAACUGAGACACGGUCCAGACUCCUACGGGAGGCAGCAGUAGGGAAUCUUCCGCAAUGGGCGAAAGCCUGACGGAGCAACGCCGCGUGAGUGAUGAAGGUCUUCGGAUCGUAAAACUCUGUUAUUAGGGAAGAACAUAUGUGUAAGUAACUGUGCACAUCUUGACGGUACCUAAUCAGAAAGCCACGGCUAACUACGUGCCAGCAGCCGCGGUAAUACGUAGGUGGCAAGCGUUAUCCGGAAUAUUGGGCGUAAAGCGCGCGUAGGCGGUUUUUUAGUCUGAUGUGAAAGCCCACGGCUCAACCGUGGAGGGUCAUUGGAAACUGGAAAACUUGAGUGCAGAAGAGGAAAGUGGAAUUCCAUGUGUAGCGGUGAAAUGCGCAGAGAUAUGGAGGAACACCAGUGGCGAAGGCGACUUUCUGGUCUGUAACUGACGCUGAUGUGCGAAAGCGUGGGGAUCAAACAGGAUUAGAUACCCUGGUAGUCCACGCCGUAAACGAUGAGUGCUAAGUGUUAGGGGGUUUCCGCCCCUUAGUGCUGCAGCUAACGCAUUAAGCACUCCGCCUGGGGAGUACGACCGCAAGGUUGAAACUCAAAGGAAUUGACGGGGACCCGCACAAGCGGUGGAGCAUGUGGUUUAAUUCGAAGCAACGCGAAGAACCUUACCAAAUCUUGACAUCCUUUGACAACUCUAGAGAUAGAGCCUUCCCCUUCGGGGGACAAAGUGACAGGUGGUGCAUGGUUGUCGUCAGCUCGUGUCGUGAGAUGUUGGGUUAAGUCCCGCAACGAGCGCAACCCUUAAGCUUAGUUGCCAUCAUUAAGUUGGGCACUCUAAGUUGACUGCCGGUGACAAACCGGAGGAAGGUGGGGAUGACGUCAAAUCAUCAUGCCCCCUAUGAUUUGGGCUACACACGUGCUACAAUGGACAAUACAAAGGGCAGCGAAACCGCGAGGUCAAGCAAAUCCCAUAAAGUUGUUCUCAGUUCGGAUUGUAGUCUGCAACUCGACUACAUGAAGCUGGAAUCGCUAGUAAUCGUAGAUCAGCAUGCUACGGUGAAUACGUUCCCGGGUCU
rnacentral:rRNA from 1 species